UAGUGGCGACGGGUGAGUAACACGUGGGCAAUCUGCCCUGCACUCUGGGACAAGCCCUGGAAACGGGGUCUAAUACCGGAUACUGACCUGCUUGGGCAUCCAAGCGGUUCGAAAGCUCCGGCGGUGCAGGAUGAGCCCGCGGCCUAUCAGCUAGUUGGUGAGGUAAUGGCUCACCAAGGCGACGACGGGUAGCCGGCCUGAGAGGGCGACCGGCCACACUGGGACUGAGACACGGCCCAGACUCCUACGGGAGGCAGCAGUGGGGAAUAUUGCACAAUGGGCGAAAGCCUGAUGCAGCGACGCCGCGUGAGGGAUGACGGCCUUCGGGUUGUAAACCUCUUUCAGCAGGGAAGAAGCGAAAGUGACGGUACCUGCAGAAGAAGCGCCGGCUAACUACGUGCCAGCAGCCGCGGUAAUACGUAGGGCGCAAGCGUUGUCCGGAAUUAUUGGGCGUAAAGAGCUCGUAGGCGGCUUGUCACGUCGGUUGUGAAAGCCCGGGGCUUAACCCCGGGUCUGCAGUCGAUACGGGCAGGCUAGAGUUCGGUAGGGGAGAUCGGAAUUCCUGGUGUAGCGGUGAAAUGCGCAGAUAUCAGGAGGAACACCGGUGGCGAAGGCGGAUCUCUGGGCCGAUACUGACGCUGAGGAGCGAAAGCGUGGGGAGCGAACAGGAUUAGAUACCCUGGUAGUCCACGCCGUAAACGGUGGGCACUAGGUGUGGGCAACAUUCCACGUUGUCCGUGCCGCAGCUAACGCAUUAAGUGCCCCGCCUGGGGAGUACGGCCGCAAGGCUAAAACUCAAAGGAAUUGACGG
rnacentral:rRNA from 1 species